rnacentral:rRNA from 1 species
UGCUUUAACAAGGCGAAACCGCGAAUGGCUCAUUAAAUCAGUUAUGGUUCACUAGAUCGUAAAUCCUACACGGAUAACUGUGGUAAUUCUAGAGCUAAUACGUGCAAACGGCUCGUUCCCUUGUGGAGCGAGCGCAGUUAUUAGAACAAAACCAAUCCGGCCUUCGGGUCGGUUAAAAUGGUGACUCUGAAUAACCGAAGCGGAGCGUAUGGUCUCGUACCGACGCCAGAUCUUUCAAGUGACUGCUCUAUCAGCUUGUUGCUAGGUUAUGCUCCUAGCAAGGCUUCAACGGGUAACGGGGUAUCAGGGUCCGAUACCGGAGAGGGAGCCUGAGAAACGGCUACCACAUCCAAGGAAGGCAGCAGGCGCGCAAAUUACCCACUCCCAGCACGGGGAGGUAGUGACGAAAAAUAACGAUGCGAGGGCAUAUUGCUUCUCGUAAUCGGAAUGGGUACACUUUAAAUCCUUUAACGAGGAUCUAUUGGAGGGCAAGUCUGGUGCCAGCAGCCGCGGUAAUUCCAGCUCCAAUAGCGUAUAUUAAAGUUGCUGCGGUUAAAAAGCUCGUAGUUGGAUCUGGGCAGCUGGAUGUGCGGUGCGCUUUACAGCGUUACUGCUCGUUUGGCGCCACAAGCCGGCCAUGUCUUGCAUGCUCUUCACUGCGUGUGCUUGGCGACCGGAACGUUUACUUUGAAAAAAUUAGAGUGCUCAAAGCAGGCGUAUGGCCUUGCAUAAUGGUGCAUGGAAUAAUGGAAUAGGACCUCGGUUCUAUUUUGUUGGUUAUCGGAGCUCGAGGUAAUGAUUAAGAGGAACAGACGGGGGCAUUCGUAUUGCGGCGUUAGAGGUGAAAUUC